UCCCAGCCCCGGUCGCUCGCGGCUGCGACGGGCGCGCGGGAGGCCAGAGCCACCGCCAGCCGGAGCGACCUGCAGGCAGGCCUCGGUGCAGACCCUCUUAACCUUCCGGGGGAUCCGUCAGUCCCAGAGGGCUUUCCUGAGCCACCCUCCUCACCAAGACGGGCAAGAAGACGGUAAAUUCUGAAGCAAAACAGCUUCUAGAAGAAAACCACUCUAUCAUCUGCCUACCUGUUUAGCCACCCAGAACAUAUCCUAAAGGGGAAAUAAUCUACUCCUACUUGGAAACAGCCUCGGGAACAGCAUCCGUUUCUGAGAUUCCCCGGAAAAAUUCCCCCAGCGCGGGCUGCUCCACAUUUACGUCCGUAGACGCGUAGCGGUUGCUCUUCCACACCUAUUGGAUAAAGGGCAGCUGUAAAGAACCAAAAACAGAUUGUGACCCUACGCCCAGGCAGGACUGUAAAUCCACGCUAUGUGCCUGUGACUGAUUUGGGAUUUGGAUUUCUGAUUUGGCUGAGAGAUGUGCAAAAACCUCAAGUAGUCAACAGCUCCCUACUGGCUAUGCAUCUGAGGGGCUCAAGAACAUUGUUUAUUCCAGCAAGUGUCUGGAAUACAUUAUACUCGAUAAAUUGGCUCCUGCUACUCCCGUUUUGGAGAAUAUGAAGAAUUUGUAUACUGUGCUGAAAUAAAUGUACUUUGCCC
ensembl:lncRNA